AGCGUGCCUCUGUCCAACCUCGGACCUCUGUGCCUGCCUCCUGUGGAGAAAUCUUGAACUGGGAUCCUCUUUCCCUGUCAGCUAAUUGGGUCCAGUUGUGUUUUGAUGUAAACAGUUGGGAAGGUGGGCACACAGGGUCUCAUAUAUCCUAAAUUAACCUCAAACUCUGACUGAGGAUGACCUUAAACUCCUGAUUCUCCUGCCCCCACUUCCCAAGUGCUAGGAUGUUUUGGUGUAGACAUGCCUUUUAAGGUUCUGGAGUUAAUAAACUCGUUACCUCCUUUCUUACCUAUUUGAGUCAGUAAAGCACCAAAUAAUUCAAGAAUAGAAACAAUAUUAUUGUCUGAUAGAGAAACUAGAGGAAAUUUGACAUUUCCAUUCAUGGUAUAUCAAAGCUGGAAAAUGCUUCCUCCAACUACAUUUUUAGAAUCAAAGCUAAUUCCAUAGGAUUCUAACUGAACAGGAAAUUUGGCAGAAAUGUAAUGUUGUAAGUGAAUUCUGAUGGAAAAUUUCCUUUUUGCACUAGUGUAAUGAGUCUUGGGACCUAUUUGUGACAGCACUGAUAUGCUUUUGUAUUUUUGCUUGGAUAUUUUUGUAAUGAGGUCUCAAGUCACCAGGGCUGGCCCUACACUCCUGAGGUGUCUGAGGCUGUCCUUGAGUCCCAGUCCUUGUGUCUCCACCCCUAAAUGCUAGUAUUAAAAGACUACACUGUCCUCCCAGCUUUGCAUUGCUUGUUUAGAAAGGAAUACAAGACAGAACAUUUGGUUUGAAGACAAGAUUGACUUCUGAAUUUAAUUUUGGAUGAGAAUUACUAUAAUUGCUGCCAGUUCUCACCUUCAGAAUGAAGAUGAGAAACCUCAAGGCCAAGACAUGGCUCAGAGGGAAUAGCACCUGCUGCUCUUGCAAAGGACUGGAGAUGAGUUUCCGGGACCUAUAUCAGGUGGCUCAUAAACCCUGUGGCUCCAGCUCCUGGGGAUUCAACUAGUGCAAAGGGCACUAAUGCAUGCACACAUCAUUUAAAAUUAAACAUAAAAAAAGAUUUCAAACCCUCAGAGACCCAAUCAAAUAAAACUCAUGUGGCCCAGGCUCAUCCCAACCUCCCUAUGUGGACAAGAAAGACUUCCAGCUUCAUAUUUUCCUUCCUGCCUCAGCUUCCCAAGUGCUGGAGUUACAGGUAAUCACUACCAUGCCUGGUUAUGUAAUGCUGGUGACUGAUCGCAGGGUUUUGUAUACUGUAGACAACCUAUCUACCAAAUGAACUACACCCCCAACUCAGUAGCUAAUUUUAUUUAUAUCCAAUGUACUCUUAUGCACUUUAAAAAUGCAAAGACUAGUGUCCUUUUUUCCUUUCUGCUGGGUGCCAGCUGCUCAAUGUUGAAAUGGGCAAGUUCAUGAAACCCAGGAAAGUGGUGCUGGUCCUGGCUGGAUGCUACUCCGGAUGCAAAGCCGUCAUCAACAUUGGUGAUGGCACCUCAGACCACCCUUACAGCCAUAACCUGGUGGCUGGAAUUGACUGCUUUCCCUAAAAGUGACAGCUUCCAUGAAUAAGAAGCAAAUUGCCAAGAGAUCCAAGAUCAAGUCCUUUGUGAAAGUUUAUAGCUACAACCACUUCAUGCCCACAAGGUACUCUGUGGAUAUCCCCUUGAACAAAACUGUUGUCAACAAGGAUAUGUUUAGAGACUCAGCUUUAAAAUGCAAGGCCAGGCAGGAGCCCCAGGUCAAGUUUGAGGAGCCAUACAAGACAAAGAAGAACAAAUGGCUUUUCCAGAAGCUUUGCUUUCAGGCAGCAGCUCCCUCCCAGGUGCCUGGUGGAAACUCUGGAAAUGAGGACCUGAACAUCCGCUCCUGGACACAUCUGGGAGGGCCAGGAGUCAGCGAGUCUGAAUCCUGUGGACCCACGAUCUCUGCCAGCAGAGAUGAACCCUGGAGUUCAACCUAA